AGCUAUCUAGAGAGCUAAGCUUUUAGAAUUUUUCUGAUUUUGGUUGUAAAACCCAU
rnacentral:snRNA from 1 species